GCUUGUUUUAUACAAGCCAUUUCCACUUGCAGAACCGCCUUCGCUGGAUGUUUUUUGUUUUACUCAUUGAUUUGUAUAAACACUAGAGAUAGUUGUGUGUGAAAAUCACAAGAGAUUUUCUGAAAUACUCGACCCAGGCUGGUGCAGUCUGACAUCAACAACCACACCAGGGACAAAACCACUCCUUAUUCUGAUGUGAAUAUUAACUGAAGCUGUAUGACCAUGUAACAUGACACCUUUCAUUGCCAACUUAUUCCCUUGUUGUGGCUGAUUGUGUGUGUGAAAAUCCCAGAAGAUUUCUGAAAUACUCUAACCAGCUCAUCUAUUACCAUCAACCACGGCACGGUUAAAGUCACAGAGAUCAGACAUUUUUCUUCACUCUGAUGUUUGAUGUGAACUGAAGCUCUUCUCUUGUUCUGCACGAUGUUAUGCUUUUCCCUGCUGAUUGGGUGUUUAGAUAACUGUAUGAAUAUCCAGCUGUGCAGGUGUUCCUAAUAAAGUGGACAAGGUAUAUAUGGAUAUUGGAUGAGAUCAGAUAAGAACAAGAUGUCUUACUCCUUCAGCUCACUCACUGAACACAUUCACCAAAAACAUUCUAUGGAUUGUGGCUGUGAGUUUCAACAUAGCUGAGAAGUCAGUCUUUUCCACAAGUAUGGACACAACGAGAGUGCAGACUUAGCCGGCUCUGCUUAUGAAGGGGAUAAAAGGAUAAAAGGAUGAAGAGUCAAUGUAUGAAGGACAAAAUGAAAGGAUAUGGAAGCAGGAGCAUGUCAGCGAUAAAGGAUGAAGAGAGAGACAGGAUGACAAAGAUAUGAAGAGAACAAAGGAAGAAUGUGAAGGUGGAGGAAUGAUGGGACGGAGGGACAGAGGUAUGGAGGUGCUAACCGUCAUCAUAGCUCCAGGCUCUGGGUGUUUUUGUGCAACAACAUUAGUCAUUUAACAUCUCACUCUUUCUCCAUCUCUUUCACUUAUUUCACACGCUGAUUUCCGAUCUGUUUCCUUCUCUCUCUUUCUUAUCACAUUUACACUGGAUGUACACUGGCCUUUGCCAUCAGGUUCACGGUUCAUAUUAACAAGGAUUCGCUUCAGGCAGCAGCAUGCUAGCCGCCAUGCUACGCUAAACAUCUCUGUGUACCAAUCGGUGAUGUAUAAACCUGCAAUCUACCUAAAAAUAUGUAACUCACUACAUAUAAAGGACUUUUUGCUAAGCAACAGGGAAUAAUAUUUAUGAAAAUGCCAAUGACCCGCUGACCUCAGCUCUCGGCCCCUUUAAAGAGAGAGGCGUAAUCCCGUGUGACUCGUUUGUGGUUGUCCAUUUGCUUUUUAGUGCUUUUAAUGUCUGCGAGUGUAACUAUCAGUGGUUUCAACAGGGUUUUGAAGGACUAUUAUUUGGCAUUUCUCUCUCUCUCUCUGUGUGUGUGUGUGUGUUUGUGUGUAUGUGUAUGUGUGUGUGUGUGUUUCCUGUUCGUUAGUCUAAAGAUGUCAGAUAAAGUGUCUCGUCCUGAGGGAGUAACAGAUUUAUCUUUUUCUCCACUGAGAAAACAAGCUGGAGUUGUCACCACACACACACACACACACACACACACACAGAUUUCCCUGGUGGGGGCCUCUGUCUUUGGGAUGUGUGCGUGAGAAGUGGACUAUGUUCUCUGUGGAUGCUCGGUUUUGGGGAAAUGAAGGCUUUACUAUUCAUUAUUAAACUAGCGCUCUUCAGACCCCAUGAGGGUCACUGCACUGACCUCUACACACACACACACACACACAUACAAAUGUUUAGAGAAAAGCAGCAUUUCUAAGAAAAUCUGACAUCUGACCACUUUAUUGUCUUGGCUUCAUAGUUUCUCUGUGAAUCCUAAUACUUUAGGUGUAGAUUUUUAUUCAAAAUACUUGUGGCGCUACAGUAAGAGGAAGUCUGAAUAAAUAAAUUGAAUAAAUAGAAAUAAACCCUUUCACGGAUAUAACUCUGUAAUAUCUGCAGUAUCUUUUCAUAUUUAAAUAGCAUGAUAGUGUGUUGUUUAAUUCAGUGGCAUGAUUUUGUUCCACUGUAUAUAUGGAGAUGGGUAGAAUGACUAAAAAUGUCUCCAAUAUCUAAUCUAAUCUCAUGUAAUAUCCAGUGCAAACAUUAUUCACUUUGUAUAAGAACACCUGGAUAUUCAUACAGUUAUCUAAACAGCCAAAAGAAAAGCAUAACAUCAUGCGGGACAAGACAAGCGCUUCAGGUUCACAUCAAACAUCAGGAUGAAGAAAAAUCUCUGAUCUCCGUGACUUUAACUGUGCCGUGGUUCUUGGUUAUCGAUGAGCUGGUUUGAGAAUUUCAGAAAGCACUGAGUGAGCAGGAGCUCAGAGGAAAAAAUGUCAAGAUUGGUUGGAACUCUCAGGAAGGAUAGAGUAACUCAAAUAAUCGCUCUUUACCAUCACUGUGAGCUGAAAAGCAUCUCGGGUGGGUUGAGGUGGAUGGGCUGGAUUGGGAUGGAACCUGCUGUUGUAGCUCGUCUGUCAAGUAUUGAUUCUUUGUGCACACUGACAUGCUUCACUACUCAACACAGUUGUAAAGAGUGAUUAUAUGUGUUAUUAUCAUUAUGUCCCUAAGUGGCUGGUCACAUGAAUCGAAUAUUUGUAAAAUUACACCAGUCAGAUUCAGUAUGUUAGUAAUCGUCACUACGAUACCAAUUUACUGCUUUUGUCAUGACCCCCCCCCCCCCAUGCUGCUGUACUAUGACGUUUCAUGGUCUGAAUUCUGAGCUUUGAUACUACUACCCUAAUUUGACUGCACUACUUUAGAAAUAACUUGUUAUAUUUCAAACAUUAAUAGCUUAUGUAAUAACCAUCAUAUUAUCAUAAAUCACUGGUAAAAUUCACAAUAAAGAUGUUCUCAAGGCGCUUCAUUCAUAAUUAUUGGGUCAUUUUUAACUGAGAUGAACUGCUGCCUCACAGCAAGAAGGUCCUGGGUUUGAAUCCCGGGUUUGAACAAGCAGGGGCCUUUCUGUGUGGAGUUUGCAUGUUCUCCUUGCAUGGAUUUCCUCCCAACAUAUACAUUAGGUGGACUGGUAAUUCUAAAUUGCCCAUAGGAGUGAGUGUGUGUGGUUGUCUGUCUAUAUGUGGCCCUGUGAUGGACUGGUGACCUGUCCAGGGUGUACCCCUGCCUUUCGCCCUAUGUGUGCUGGGAUAGGCCCUGUGACCCUAAUUAGGAAUAAAGAGUAUGGAAAAGAGUAUAAAGAGUAUAGAAAAUGGAUGGAUGGGUACUAGAGAGAUGUGUAUUGUGCUUUAUAGUUAUGUUAUAGGGUUAGGGCUGUACCAAACAACCGUGGGUUUAUUCUUGGACAGAGUUCGAAAGGAAAUUGAAUUGCACUUUUAAUAAGAAUAGGGGAACAAAAGCAAAACAUGAUACAUAUGAAUGGUUCAAACCUUGUGGCAGAUAAAAACAAAAAGCCCAUAGCUUUAAUAAAUAAAUACGUUACAUAUUUUCCUAAUGUGCUUAAUAUUUGAAUUGUUUGAUUAUACUUCUCUAACUAAAAGUUUGAGAGGUUUGCUGUAGGCCAGUGAUCGCUCUGCUUCAUUAAAUCUCUGGUUUCUGUGUUCAGGAUGUCAAACAGUGACUCAGCGUCUGCUCCUGUUGAUGGUCUAACACAGAUACAUUAAAGGUUUGGAUUCCCCCAAAGAAAAAUAUCCACGUCUCAUGCUUUGUUCUGUAGAUAAGCACUGCUGCUGUUAUCAUAAAUACUCAUCCCAGGACACUUAUUCACCAUCUGCUCACUGUAAUGUUUGAGUUUAUACUUCUGUAUAUGUAUUUACUUUCAAAUUCUGGAUCCAGGUGACGUUUUUUUUACUCAUGACGCCUCCGUGAGUUCUUGGUUGCCGCUCAUGACUCUGGCUUAAACGUUACAGCGACGUCUUUUUUUUUUCCAAAGCAGAAGAUUUGAUGACUUAAGAUAAAUGACAUUAGUCCAUCAUUCGAAGAUUCUUUGUAGUACUCUGUCUCUGUUUCUUUUAAAUACCCUGAGGGUCAAAAAUUCCUCCGUUGAACCAUGUGUCUAUCUCUGUGCUUAUUCGUGUGUGUGUGUGUGUGUGUGUACACAUUUUCCAAGUUCCACACUAAAUCACCUUGAUCCUCAAAGCAAGCAUAUGAUGAGGUUUGUUGUCCCGUAGACAUUAAAUCUGUUCCACUUGGCCUCCUACACCCUAACUAUCCCUGCCUUUCUCUCUCGAUCGUUCGUUUUAAUAAAGAUAAGUGCUGAUAAACAGUGAUUAGGAGGGUCGGCUCUGUGGAGGUGCCUCGGCAGCGAGAGUGGGUAAUAGCGCAGGACUAUUAUAGUCAUUACAUCUUUACCAAAGAGAGAGAGGACAUCAUGUUAUUACCGUCACACGCAUCAAACAGCGACGAUGCAUACCCACAAGCUCAUAUAUUACACAAGUUGAUGCAGCGUGUGUGUGUUUUUUUUAUUUGUGUGUGUUUUGGUGUUUGGUAUUAUGGCUGUCAUGGCAGCUUGUAAUAAAACUGUUACACGCAAACCUUUUCAUGCUCCUGAAUUCAUUCGUUCAUGAAACAUUCUUCCAUCUGAAAUAAUAUGGAUUCAGUAAAAUAUUACCAAGAAGUUAUGUUGUGGAACAUUUUUAAAAAGUUUUAUAUUAAGACGCUAUGGGGAACGUUAACAGGAAGUUGUGAGUGAAUCCAACUUCGUCCGGCUGAAGAGAAAUGUCAUAGAUAGGUCAAGUACUAUUCAGAGGUCAGGUCAUCUUCUCUUUAGUUAAAUGUUCAAUAAAACAGCUCUCUUUCAUCCUAUCUAUAGUCCUGACUGGCAUGUCCAAUCUGCCAAAAUUAGAGCGAAGAUUUGGGUGAUGAGUAAUUGUGUGUGUGUGUGUGUUUCAGGUUUGUAUAAAGCCAUAAUUAAUGCCUGUCUUGUAUCUCACAUGGAGAAGAGCAUUAUCUGUUCCUUUUUCCUGUCAGAGGACUGUACUACUUUUUGGCAAUAACAUUCCCUAAAAUUGCCAAGCCUUUGUUCACGUGUCACUGAGUAUUUGUGCUUUCCUGCAAUUUGGAUGUUGAUCAUAAGUGUGCGUGUCCUCUCAGUGUUUGGUGUGUGCCUAAUAAGCAAACCUCUUCGGUACAUGUUCCGUGCUAAUUUUGUGCUUUUCGAUAUGUUGCUUUUAGCUAUGUAUAACUGUAAAAACACAGUGAAGAUUUGUGGUAAAAAUAAAGAUUCUUGAAAGGUUCUUUGUCAGGGUGUUUGGUUCUGUGAAGAACCUCAAACGUCUAUGGAAUGUUUCCAUUGUACACAAGGUUCUCUGUAGUGAAAAAAAAAGAAAGUUCUUUAGACCUUAAAAAGACUUUUUUAUAGCACAAAAAAAGGAGAUCUUUUAGGAACCAUAAACUAAAAGGUUCUUUGGGGAACUGAAAAUGGAUCUUCUAUGGCAUUGCUGUGAAAAACUCUUUUUUUGGUUCUUUGUGGAACCUUUAUUUUUAAGAGCAUGGAUCGACCCAGAGCUUCUGCAUUGAUCCAGUUGCACAAAACUUUUGCUUUAUAAAGAAUCAGUAUCGUGUUUAAUUUGAUCUUAAAGCAUUAGACACAAACAAUUUAUGGGUUUCACUUCAUGAGAAAUGUUUUUAAUACUUUUGUAGUUAUACAUACACUCUGUAUGUUAGGGAUAUAAUGUCACAUAAUCUGCAUCUGUAUCUGUUUAUUGCUCUAAAUAGCUGGAUCUUUAGACCUGAAGUAUGAAGUCCAGAAACUUGCAGAUCCUUUCCCUGUAGAGAUGUCUACAGGGCUCUAUUUAUUCCCAGCACUGUAGUGAUUAUUUUUAUUUAUUAUCUAACUAAUUUACUUGGUUCUACUCCACAUCAUAUAAACAAACUCGUAGUCUAAUUUAAUCCACUGACACAGUUAAUAACCAUGAAUGAAUGAAGACUGUGAAUGCACUACUGUGAAUGCAAUGCUCAUCAACAGCAACAGCAACAGCAACUAAGUGAUGUGCCUCUUAUUAUUAUUCAUACCUUUAUAACUCAUUAUCACUUCAACCCAAAUAAUGUAUUCUUAUUCUGUUACAUCCCUAAUAUACAUGCGACUGUAAUGUAAUAUGAUCUUACUCAGGUCUUGGUGACACACAAAGUCUCACAAUUUUCACUACUUUCUUCAUAUCCUGACUGAAAAUCAACACUUUCCACUGCACUAGAAUCUCUAAAUUUUCCUACACUGGCUACUUAUCGUAUUCUGCAAUUAACAGCAUUCGUUUUCAGGGAAUGAAAUGAAAGACAUGUCUUGUGUUAUGGUAUAUAAUAAAACGGAUGUCCUUAGUGUAAUAUACUGUAUGCAAAACGACUUUUGUUGGUAAUAUUUUGGAAAGAAAAUGUAACUUAAAGAUGCUAAAGUUGAAAUGCCACUGACAAACACUGAUGAGUGUGACCGAGGAAUGAUCUGGAUGACAACACCCUAAGUGGUCUGGAUGACCAUGAGCUCUCAUUUAACUAAAACCGCUCAUGUGAGGAGCUUCACACAGGUGUUUGACCACAGAGACAGAGUGAUUAGGCCAAAGUUCAGGU